UCUGGAAGCGAAAAGUAGAGGGAAAAAAAAUCAUUUCAGCAAACUAGUAUCAGUCGAUUUCCAGGGAUUCUGGAAAAUCCAAAGAUACAAAAGACCAUUCGGCACUUAUUUCAAAACUGUUUAUUUGCUUGUAAUCGAAAAUAUUUGCGUGACUAUUAGUGGUUCAAAGAUACCGAAGAAUUAAGGACCCUAAUUUACACCACGUCGUGCGUCACUGAUCCGCAUACAAAACUCUGGCUCGGUACUAAACCGCUUUGCCUAAUUGCGGUUUAAUUAUAAUCAACCCCGACCUAAUUGGACCAUCAAUUUAUUUACUUGGAUGAAAAAAGAAUUCAUUGUGCUCAAGCUCCAUUCCUUAACGUAAUUCAACCCAUAUCCGAGAUAUUUGCAGAGCGAAUAAAAAUCCAGCACAAUUCGCAAUCGGAUCACGUGAAGAUAAAUUUUGUAUCAAGCCAGGUGUCCGUAGCGCACUGGUCUGCGCUGCGGGUCAGUUUAGGAAGUUUUAGUUUUUGAAUACUUGGUGUGAUCUCGCGGUUCUAGAAACUCGACUGCACGUCGGCGGGUACGUAUAGGCGGGUUUCUACAGGUGCAUCGAAGUUCACACGUAAUACUAGAGUUGGAACGUAGGUGGGUAUAAGAUAUCCUCGAAACGUAAAAAUUUCAUGACCCAAUUCAAAAGAUCCUGUGCCCGAACGCGAGCAACUGCACCAGUCUUCCCAAUAAACCGAAAACAUGCCGUGGAAUUCAGGUAUAAAACGGAGGGUUGAGAACUUGGGCUGAGAAUCUUCACCAAAUGCCCGAUUUACAACCACGAUCUUAUUUACAACGGCAAUAAAUGCCGAGUAAUCGCUUCGAGGGGUGGAAACAAGCGAAGUGGAAGUAACGAGUUGCGACCCUAAACAUUACAUAAAAGUAUAGGCUACGCGAAUAUUUGCAAAUGCAGUGACUUCCUUUCAAACAAAUGAUGAAGCUGCACCUCGAAAAAACAAGAAGAAAAUGAGGAACGUCUUCAUCGUCGUGCUCUUCAUAGUCGAGAGUUAAAAUUGUCCAACAAUCCCAAAUAUAUCUUUCCCAAUCGCACAAUGGAAAUUUCGCCUAGAUGACACAACGAAACUAGAUGGAAACACUCGUUGAAGGUCUCUACACGGAGGCUUUUUGACGCUUUCAACGAGAAAAUUCUGUAAAAAUUAGUAAAUUUUUCAUCUCUACGAAACUAUUAUUCCGGGCUUGUUCCAGGAUUUCGGGACUAGCAUUGUCAUGGAAACGUCAGGAUGAGAUAAAAAUUAAAAAACUCAUCUCCACGAGACUUUGACGAGCGGCAGGUUACUCCGAGGAAAUGGAAAUUAGAUGUCACUUAAAUAUUUUCACAGAUAAAAUGUAACAAUUGGUUUUCAAUCCAAAUAUGUUUCCCAUGUGGUUUCAGUCAGCGGCGCUGGUUUCUGGUCAGCUUCAUCUUGUUUCGGAUUCCCUUCAGGUUCACCCAUAUAAUUUCAGGUAUUAGCCUACCUUCUGGUUGCGCUCUUUCCACGCGUUCCUAAACUCAGGAUCACGUAUCGCUUUCUGAAAUUUCUUCCAUUACACGGAUCUUCCGAAAAUUGAGUAGGCCUAUGCAAAUACGCAUGUGUAAUACAUUUCGCGUGCGCUGUCGAAACGUUGAUCCUCGUGGCUUGGUAACUUGGAAAAGCGAAUCCGUAAAAUGACUCAAAUAGAUUCGAGUCAAAUGUCAAAUGUGCAAGUGCAUGGCUUACGUUAAUUCAGUUUAAAACGCGAGUUAGUUAUAACGUGAGAAUCGUAAAAUAUAAUUGUACAGCUGCACGCGAAUUCUCCAUCCUAUCGUUGGUCGGCUGUGUAAAAGGUGUAAAAGAGGAAUUGCGCUCAUUUCGUUCACUAGUUCCUUUCCACGUGGUGAACCACCAAUUUAAAUUUACUAGGCGUGAAAAAGCUUUUCACUUAAUGGCGCGUAUGUUGUUUUUUUUUUCUUCUCAUUUUUUGUACGUUUACGUUUCAUCAGUGCCGGUAAAUGUUCUACCGCGCGUUCGGUAGACUUUGAACAAAAUAACAGAACGCAAAUGGCGAUAUACCUAUACGGAGAUCAUAGAACAAGUCACCGUUCUCCGGGGUAUCUAUAAUUUAUACCGCAGGUGGAUCGAUCGGUUCCCGUUCUUUGUUUCGCGGCGGCGCUACCGACACGCACACCGAGGGCUAUAAACUCUCACUUCUUCGGCUGGUCGGGAACGAAAGCUGGAAAGAAAGUUUUUACUGAUUAUUCUCCAUAAAACACCCCGAAUAUACCACAGCUGCAAAUUGUUACCAGACUAGCGACGCUCCAUAAAAAUCAGGCGUCCAUAACUCCGUAGCCAGGAGAAACAGGGUUAAUUUAAUGACACGGAGUUAUAUAUAAAAACAUCCUGAUUCAGUAGCGAGAAACCGCAGUCUCUAUCUUACGAAAAACACCCCCGUCUCGUUACACAUUUUUAUCGGCGUAACGGUUUUUCCACCGUUCUUUUUCUCUCUUAUGCGUUUGGAAAAUCGCCACCCAUCUCCACAUCCGAACGCGGGACAAUCAAGGUUCAGAGUGCAGUUCCCACGAAGCUCUCGGUGAUAACGGUGGCACGACCAUCGUCGCAAGUGGAUAGGAUAACCCCGGUAUAUACGCGACGGAUACUUGAAAAUAACUAGACGAUAAAAAGGAGACCAGACCAUGUUGCACGGCCGUAGACGUUACCGCGCCGAUCUUGAGAGAGUAGCUACGUCGUCCGAUGAAGGGCUACCAGCGAUGUGUCGGAGGGACACACGGAGACCUGAGGGUGGAAGGAAAGGUUCGGAACAGUAGGUGUUGUAGGGUUCCCUCGGGAGUGAGUGAGGUUGGAGGCGGGAUAAUAGGGAUAAUAAAUGGUCUGAAACUAUUCAGCCACUGCUGCUACGUACGGGCCAUACCGGAGGCAACUUUUGCUUCUUCCCUGCACAAUUUUUUGAAGGGCCAAAAUCUCGACCAACGAUUGCCCUACCUUCGGAAUUUACGGAGGUCUCGCCAAAUUUUCAGUUUUAUUACCCCGACAGGUUUCCCUCGUAUUCCUCGCGAUACCGCUGCGUCUUUAAUUCAUAUCCAUCGCGGAAGUCGUUCGAAUUUUACGAUUUCACACUUGGGACUUCGACCUUGACUUUCUUCGCGAUUGACAUUUGAAACGGCUUCACCACUUCCCGGUCGGUUCGCCUGCUCGCAAACGGGGAGGCGAGAUGAACACAAAUUAUGGUCAUGGAAUGGAGAGUUCACCGCGACUCUGUCCCAGAUUUCAGCAGCGAUGUAAUUUCGUUAUAUUUACGUAGCACCUCGAGUGGCGAGAUAGAGGAAGUGGGAUAUAUCCCCUUGCAUACGAGUAUACGCCAAAUUCUGAUCCUUCCUAACCGGAGUUCGCGCAUGUUGUGUAAGCGCUUUUGUACACGGACCCAUCAUCCCGAUGUCUCAAAUGAAUUUGACGAUAUUACCUAGCACGUGCGUCGUCGUCUUAAAAUAACCAUAAGCAUACCUUCCCACCGACCUGCGGCCGUAUGUGAUAUCCACAUGCGACAAACCUCUGCUGAACUGAGAUAACCCGGUGUGCUUAGGUUAAUUGAAGCCGAUGUUAUAUUUCUCUAGCUUUGCUGUGUGCUGCAUCGGUUCGAGAGCACGUGCACCGUGGAAUUAUUUUCUCGCAACCCCUCGAUUACCUUCAUUGGCAAAAUGAACGUCUUCGUACCACUCCGUCACGACUGACAUUAAUUAUUUCACCGGUCCCACGCCCGUUACAUCGCGAAUUUUCUACGCUGUUCGGUAUCGUUAGGUGGAAGAAGCACGCCCGAGGAUAUCCGCAGGGGUGUUUUUUUUAUAGUCAGGACAUGGUCAAGCCGUGGACUCUAAAGUCGGUGUCGAUAGACGUCAGUUCAAUCGGGCAUCGGCAAUUAGCUAUUACCCACUCACUAGGUUACAUGUGUACGAUAUCCCGCAGGGCAUUUCACCCUUCGACAGGGUUAGGCUAAUUAACUGUAAUGGCUUACCACCUGGCCUAUUAGACGCAACUACGCAUAUUCCGUGCUCAAAGCACUUUAUGAUAGGGUGAGAUGCAUGGUUCCAUAAUGCAGCAUGGAAGAGAGGUACAUGUGUUGUACAGAUGUUGAAUGUGCAUAUAAUCAAUCUCACGAUCAACUAUUGCCGAAUUCCGAUGCCGCUCAAAGAAAAAGCUUUCUGCCAACAUUUUUUCACCCCUAGAACACUCCUGUAAUACGAAAAACAUGAGACGUCUGCAGAUCACCGUGAGAAUGUUUCGGAAUUAUAGCGAAUGAAAAGAGAUGGAUGGUCGGGGAACAUCGAUGCGCUUGCCAAACCACGACCCCGUAAAAAGGAGUUAACGAUGUAAUUCGCGGCCCCUAUCUUUACGUAUGACGUCGCAUGAUAUUAUUUAUAAUUCCAGCAAAAGCACCUUGCUUUUCGCCGGUUCUAUUGGUCAUACAGUCGAGAAAACUAAUAAAUCUUACCGAUUGUCAAGUGAAUCUUCCUUCGAGUUUUCCCAUCUCUAGUUCACGGUGAAAGUAUGAGAAUAUACAAAGGAGUAACAUUAGUUUGCGAGGGCUACAAAAAUUUCGUUGGCAUCGAUUGGGUCCAAGUAUAUCCCCUUGAAUACUGGAAGGCUCGUCGUUCUCCUCUGUCUUUGACAGUCGUUUUAACUUCUGAACCUUUCACCUGAUCUCUUCCGAUUCUCGGUAGGACACCUCCUUCUCGGAAAGCACCCCAACCCCCUUCUGCGACCUCGUUCAAGUUUGGUGAAAAUCGUUCACAGUUUCGGACCGGUUGCCACGAUCAAACUCAGACCAAUUCUUAACUCCGACAUAACAGAAAUUCGUUCAGGGGGUAUAAGGGAAUCGAAAAAUACGACGGUGGUGGUGACUGGCUGGUUUCAGGGAAAGGGUUAUCGCAGACUCGGAAUACACCCGUCACCGUGGCGAAGGGGUUGAACGCGUUCCUCCUCGUGAACGCGCGCGUUGCCCUUACGAGGAAAGUGUAUAUCCGUGUCCCAUCAGAUACGAUAUGCGACGCCACCACUUCAGGCCUACGGGAUCAGGGAAUAAUCUAUUAUAUAGCCUCUACGCCUCCUUGCCCCUCCCGUUUCAUUGGGAUAGAAUAUGUUCAGGCCUCCUAGAUAGUCCACUAAAAUUCACUCGACUAAAUAUUCAAAGGCAUUUCGCGAUGUUGAAAAAACAAAAGUCGAGCAUUUUUUCCCCCGUGCAAAAGCUUCGAUUUCUUGCACGGAACGCAGCAUCUUUAUGCCCGGUAAACGGUGCUUUUUAAAGUCACGUUUGAGAAGAGUUUGAUGUAAAAUGGACGUAUGAAUCGUCACGAUGUUUUCGAAUGACUUUGUAAAUUCCUGCGCACAAACUCAUUGAUUGGAAUUUGAAAAUAGCUCCAAAUAAAAAUAGGAAAGAAAUAUGUAGUAAAAAGAUUCUGUGCGGCGGAUUCUUUUGAUAGGUGCAGGAAUAGUCUGCAGGAAAAAUAAAUGUGCCCAUGUGGUUACCCACAAAUGUACCGGCCAGAUUGGAGCAGGGAGGGGUGCUGAUCGACGAUCGUCACCGAAACGUUACGACAAAGGGAUUAGCUAAUCGCGAAAAGCCGAUCGCCCGCUCGCUCUGUUCUCCCAGGUCCGUCGUGACGAGAACACGGAAUCGGAAGAUAUCUGAACGUCGACAGGCCGUAUCUACUACAUGGGAUGGUACUACAACCUCGUACCGAAGCAAAAGCCCGCAGCGGUUGUACGGAGAGAUCGUGGGGUGGUUUCAACUGGAAAACGAAGAUGCAUUGGAUGCUUUUCAACCUCGGCUUGGAUGCUACGACAGUUCAGCUUCAGCGACAGCCGUGGCGACAUCAAGAGCGACAUCAGUAGCAAUGCAGGUUCCUCAGAGCGACGAUGGAGAAAGAGAAUGAUGACCAUUGCGUGAUGGAACCGAAUCAGAACAUCACCGAGUCUUCUCGACGAGAUACAUCCCUUCGUCUUCACCCAGUCGAGAUGGAUCUGCAACACAUGAGACGUCCAACUUCUUCUCUGCAGAGGUCGCAGUUCCUUCAACAUCAUUGCCCGGACUCCCCCUGUUCAUCAGGGGGAGUCCACUGACCCGUCC